GGGUGCGAGCGUACCAUCAUUAUUGCACCGGAUCCCAUCAGAACUCCACAGUUAAGCGUGCUUGGGCAGAAGUAGUAUUAGGAUGGGUGACCUCCCAGGAAGUCUUAGUGUUGCACCCC
rfam:Brassica rapa chromosome A4, whole genome shotgun sequence.